GGGGAAUAGUCAUGGGCUAAAUCUAAAAUCUUGUUCUAGAUGAACCCUGACCGAAGAGGGCUGUAGCAGACAACACGCUGACAGUAGGCCAACUGGAAGACGACGUGGUGGUAAAGUUAGACCUAGUCUAGCAUUGUCAUUGCCGUGGGCUAGCCAAGUGGUUUCCCUGGUAUUAAUACCGUUGAGAAAAUCUGUCUUUCAAGUUUUAGCUAAGUUAGAAUAGAUCUCUAUGCGAGGAUGUCUGACUCGACUAAAAUUACUUGCUUGUAGAAGCUAGCCUAGAUCUAUAGUCAACUACGUUCUUGAUCCUAAAUCUACAACCGAAUCAGUGUAAAUUUUAUUUUAAAUACGGUAAUAACUAUAAUAGAUCAACAAUCUAGAUCUAUUUAGAAUCAUCAGGUAGAAUGCUACUUCGUGUUCUCAAACAGCACUAGGGAUUUCUUCUUGGAUUUGUUACCUUUUAUACGUGCACCUAAUCUUGCAGAUUUGUCUGGAUCAACAAUAUAAUUUUUUUCCACAGCGUUGAAAGCAUUUUGAAUGGAUGUCUAGAUCAAUAAGGGAUGUGGAACGAGAUACAUACAAUGCAGUGAAGAUGGAAGAGCAACAUGUUGGAGAUUUAAUAAAAAAAAAACAAUUCGUAAAAUAGUUCUUCAGUCAGUCUGACGCCGGACAGACAUAACAAACAUCCGAUCAAAAGACAUUCAAUUAAAAAAAAAGAUUGCAGUCACUGAUAACAAAUUUUUCUUAAACACAGAAAUGAUCAGCUCACAUUUUUUAGAGCAACUUCAACAAAAAAAAGUUAAUAGAAUAUACGAUUGAGUUUCCAUAGAAACAUCUUUUUACUGCAUAACUGAUAAAAUCAGUAGUAAGACACAACAAUGUCAUACAAGAUGUGUAACACUGAGUGAAGAAUGAGAGUACACUGAUGAAAAAAAAGUGAUCUCACAAGACAAUGAUGAUAGAUGAUGGUGGUGACAUGAUAUUUUACCUAGAAAUCCAUGAUGAAGUUCAUCUGUGAUCAAAAAUGGGAUAGGAUUUUACUCAUAUUGUGUUAUUCAACGGUUCAACGGUCAACUCCUCCAAUUUCAAUCUGAACCAUGACAUGAAAUCCGGGACUCAAUUAUGUAUCAAAUAAAAAAACAAAAACUUUGUUUCUUUUUCUUUCAAAAGAAGGUUGGUCUAUUUUAUUUGCUCAUUAUGAUUAACAAUUUACCUAAUAACAUAGUCUAAAAUGAACAUUUCCAUAUAAAGUCAUGCUGUUAAGGGAUUCAAGUGUUUUACUUUGAUAAUGCUACAAUUAUAAGAAUUUCUACUGAUAUUUUACAUGUAAUUUUAGUAAAGUAGUCUAUAACUUCAACUGUCAUGUCACAUUUAUUGGUAAAAAUUUAGCAUGUUACUCUUUCUUUUAAUGAGGCUAUUUGUUGUUAACUUAUUACAUUUAAUAAAUGAUUACAUAAAUCAUGAGCAUAAUUUUUAUAAUCUAAUUUAUCAUGAUUUCUUUGUUAGGACUAAAUUUUCUAUAAUGGCCAUAAUGCAUUUGCUAUUCCGAACCAAUCAUGACAUAAAAUAUAUUCAAGUAAUUUGAUGUUAAAAUUAAAAAAAAUA
rnacentral:sRNA from 13 species